rnacentral:rRNA from 1 species
CUUUCAACAACGGAUCUCUUGGUUCUGGCAUCGAUGAAGAACGCAGCGAAAUGCGAUAAGUAAUGUGAAUUGCAGAAUUCAGUGAAUCAUCGAAUCUUUGAACGCACAUUGCGCCCCUUGGUAUUCCGGGGGGCAUGCCUGUUCGAGCGUCAUUACAA